UACAGAGGGUGCGAGCGUUGUCCGGAAUUACUGGGCGUAAAGGGCGCGUAGGCGGCCCGAUAAGUCGGGGGUGAAAGUCAGCGGCUCAACCGCUGGACUGCCUUCGAGACUGUUAGGCUUGAGCAUGGUAGAGGCUGGCGGAAUUCCCGGUGUAGCGGUGGAAUGCGUAGAGAUCGGGAAGAACAUCGGUGGCGAAGGCGGCCAGCUGGGCCAUUGCUGACGCUGAGGCGCGACAGCGUGGGGAGCAAAC
rnacentral:rRNA from 1 species